ACCUCGGAUCAGGUAGGGACACCCGCUGAUCUUUCCGCAUGAAACCCCCGGAAAAAAACCUUAAAAA
rnacentral:rRNA from 1 species